GAUGAACGCUAGCGGCAGGCUUAACACAUGCAAGUCGAGGGGCAGCAUAAUGGAUAGCAAUAUCUAUGGUGGCGACCGGCGCACGGGUGCGUAACGCGUAUGCAACCUACCUUUAACAGGGGGAUAACACUGAGAAAUUGGUACUAAUACCCCAUAAUAUCAUAGAAGGCAUCUUUUAUGGUUGAAAAUUCCGAUGGUUAGAGAUGGGCAUGCGUUGUAUUAGCUAGUUGGUGGGGUAACGGCUCACCAAGGCGACGAUACAUAGGGGGACUGAGAGGUUAACCCCCCACACUGGUACUGAGACACGGACCAGACUCUUACGGGAGGCAGCAGUGAGGAAUAUUGGUCAAUGGACGCAAGUCUGAACCAGCCAUGCCGCGUGCAGGAUGACGGCUCUAUGAGUUGUAAACUGCUUUUGUACGAGGGUAAACGCAGAUACGUGUAUCUGUCUGAAAGUAUCGUACGAAUAAGGAUCGGCUAACUCCGUG
rnacentral:rRNA from 1 species